rnacentral:rRNA from 1 species
AGAGCGUAAGGGGGAUACCUUGGCUCUCAGAGGCGAAGAAGGACGUGAUAAGCUGCGAAAAGUUACGGGGAGUGGCACAUACAUUAUAAUCCGUAAAUAUCCGAAUGGGGAAACCCGAUUAUUUGAAGAAUAAUCAUCCAUAUUUAUAUGGAAGCUAACCCGGAGAACUGAAACAUCUAAGUACCCGGAGGAAAAGAAAACAAAAGUGAUUCCGCUAGUAGUGGCGAGCGAACGCGGAACAGCCCAAACCUAAAUUGUUUCGGCAAUUUAGGGGUUGUAGGACCACGACAUUUAUUGCUUAAUGAAUUAGAAUCCGUUGGAAAUCGGAACCAUAGAGGGUGAUAGUCCCGUACAAGUAAAGAGAGUUAAUAAUAGUGGUAUCCUGAGUAAUGCGGGGCACGGGAAACCUUGCAUGAAUUUGGCGGGACCAUCCGNUAAGGCUAAAUACUCCUGAGAGACCGAUAGUGAACUAGUACCGUGAGGGAAAGGUUAAAAGAACCCUGAAUAAGGGAGUGAAAUAGAUCCUGAAACCUUGCGCUUACAAGCGGUCGGAGCCCUUUAGGGUGACGGCGUGCCUUUUGCAUAAUGAGCCUACGAGUUACUGUUACUGGCAAGGUUAAGUANUUUUGNUACGAAGCCGUAGCGAAAGCGAGUCUGAAUAGGGCGAAUCAGUCAGUAGUAGUAGACGCGAAACCGUGUGAUCUAUCCUUGGUCAGGGUGAAGCUNUGGUAACACAUAGUGGAGGCCCGAACCCGUUGACGUUGAAAAGUCUUGGGAUGAACUGAGGAUAGGGGUGAAAGGCCAAUCAAACUCGGAAAUAGCUCGUACUCCCCGAAAUGCAUUUAGGUGCAGCGUUGUGUUAGUUUNAUUGAGGUAGAGCUACUGAUAGGAUGCGGGGGCUUCACCGCCUACCAAUUCCUGACAAACUCCGAAUGCNAUNAAAUGAUGCACAGCAGUGAGGGCAUGGGUGCUAAGGUCCAUGUCCGAGAGGGAAAGAACCCAGACCAUCAGCUAAGGUCCCCAAGUGUAUGCUAAGUUGANUAAACGAGGUUUGACUGCCCAGACAGCUAGGAUGUUGGCUUGGAAGCAGCCAUUCAUUUAAAGAGUGCGUAACAGCUCACUAGUCGAGCGGUCGAGCAUGGAUAAUAAUCGGGCAUAAGCAUACCACCGAAGCUAUGGCAUCGUAAGAUGGGUAGGGGAGCAUUGUACCGACACUGAAGGUGAACCGUGAGGUUUGCUGGAGUUUGUACAAGCGAAAAUGUAGGCAUAAGUAACGACAAUGCGGGCGAGAAACCCGCACUCCGAAAGACUAAGGUUUCCUCAGCCAUGCUAAUCAGCUGAGGGUUAGUCGGGACCUAACACGAACCCGAAAGGGGUAGUGGAUGGACAACAGAUUAAUAUUUCUGUACCUGCUCUCACUAAAAGUGACGGAUUACCCAGGUGUUUACGUGGUGACGGAAAUCCACGUUGAGCAUAGCCCUCGGGCGAAGCGAAAACAAGUAAGUAGUUCCAAGAAAAGCGAGAGAAGCAGCCCGUACCGCAAACCGACACAGGUAGUUGGGAUGAGUAUUCUAAGGAGCUCGAGAGAUUCAUGGCUAAGGAACUAGGCAAAAUUGACCCGUAACUUCGGGAGAAGGGUCGCCACGUUUCGGCGUGGCCGCAGUGAAAAGGUCCAGGCGACUGUUUAUCAAAAACACAGGACUCUGCUAAAUCGAAAGAUGAUGUAUAGGGUCUGACACCUGCCCGGUGCCGGAAGGUUAAGUGGAGUUGUUAGCUUCGGCGAAGCAGCGAAAUGAAGCCCCGGUAAACGGCGGCCGUAACUAUAACGGUCCUAAGGUAGCGAAAUUCCUUGUCGGGUAAGUUCCGACCUGCACGAAUGGUGNAACGAUCUGGGCACUGUCUCAGCCAUGAGCUCGGUGAAAUUGUAGUAUCGGUGAAGAUGCCGAUUAACCGCUACGGGACGAAAAGACCCCGUGCACCUUUACUAUAGCUUCGUAUUGACCUUGGAUAAGUAAUGUGUAGGAUAGGUGGGAG